rnacentral:lncRNA from 1 species
UUUUUUUUCUUUCUUUUUUUGUCUUUUUAGGGCCACAUCUGCAGCCUAUGGAAGCUCUCAGGCUAGAUUUGGAGCUAUAGCUGCCAGGCUAUGCCACCCAGGCACAGCCACAGAGGAUUUGAGCUGCACUGGCAACCUACACUACAGCUCACAGCAAUGCCAGAUCUUUAACCCCCUGAGCGAGCCCAGGGAUCAAACCCACCUCCUCAUGGAUACUAUUUGGGUUUGUUACCACUGAUCCACGACAGGAACUCCUAUCCUGGGAACUUUCAUGUGACAUGGAUGAGGCCCUAAAAAAGAAAAACAAAAUUAAAAAUUAAGGAAAAAAGAACACAAACACCCAUCCAACUAUAUGCUGUUUUUAAUAAAAUUACAUUAACAGUAAAGAAAUUAAGACUCAGAGAUGAAAAGAUAUCCCACGUCAUCAUUAAAAAACAGCUGGAACAUCGAUAUUACUCUCAGACAAAGCACUGGGAUAAAGAAUGGCAUUACAUAUUUAUAAAGGGGUCAAGUCUCUAAGGAGACACAGCUAUCUUUAGGGUUAUGUGCACAGCAAUAGAAUGGCAAAGUACACCAGGAAAAAACAGAUGGAACUGCAAGGAGAAACUGAUGAAUCCACAAAUGUAAGGCAGAACCUUCAACUUGCCUCUAUUAAUAAUUACAAGAACCAGGGAGUUCCCGUUGUGGCGCAGUGGUUAACCAAUCUGACUAGGAACCAUGAGGUGGUGGGUUCGAUCCCUGGCCUCGCUCAUGGGUUAAGGGUCUGUUGUUGACACAGCUACAGCUUAGGUGGAGACUCAGGCUUGGAUCUGAUCCCUAGCCUGGGAGCUCCAUAUGCAUCGGGGUGGCCAAAAAUGAAAACAAAAAAACCCAAAAAAACCGGAGUGAUAUGAAAGGAUAUAUUCACAGAACAGAAACAGACUCAAAAAUUUCAAAACCAAACUUAAGGUUACCAAAGGGGAAACAGUGGGAGGAGGGAUAAGUUAGGGGUUGGAAUCAAAAUACAAACACCACUAUGUAUACAAUAUAUAAGUAACAAAGACCUACUAGAUAGCACAAUGAAAUCUACUCAAUACUCUGUAAUAACCUAUAAGGGAAAACAAUGAAAUCUACUCAAUACUCUGUAAUAACCUAUAAGGGAAAACAAUCUGAAAAAGAAUGGAUAUAUGUAUAGGUUUAACUGAUUCACUCUGCUGUACUCCUAAAACUAAAACAUUGUAAUUCAAUAAUACUCUAAUGAAAAAAAUUUAAAAUAGCUCAAUUAUGAAAAAUCUUACACACUCAAAAAAAAAUUGUAUCACAGGAAGUUCCCUUGUGGCUCAGGAGGUUAAGGAUCUGGCGUGGUCACAGCUGUGGAGUAGGUUCCAACCGUGGCAUGGACUCCACCCCUUGUCCAGGAACUUCCACAUACUACGGGUACGGCAAAAAAGACAGAAAGAAAAGAAAGGAAGGAAGGAUAUCACACACUACCAAGGGAAAAUAGAGUUAAGAGUUGCAAUAUUCAAUAUAUAAACAUUUACAUGGCAAGAAAUAGAAAUAUUUGAAUCAGGUAGGACAAGCAACUGCUUCCCCAUAUUCCGGAAGAAAACCCACAUUCCCAAGCUCGAGGUCCAGACUUCCCUUGUUGGGGUGCAACCCCUCGAGUGGGGCAGUCCCUGGUGUGGAAGGGUUGUGGGACACCUGAGCAGUGUCAGGAACAAACUCUGGUAACUUCACACACCCUCUCUCUUUUCUCAAGACAUAAUGGAAAUACUCCUCCUCUGAGGCUUCAUUUCUCACAAGUAAAGAAACUCCUGGCCAGACUGAAUUUCAGACUGUGACUCAAAUGAACCCCCCAAUUCCUAAACACUUUGUCCAGAAGACAAAUCUCCUGACUUCACAGACUUCCUCUACAUACACAAGUUACUACACGUGCACCCACACCGUGGAUGCCAAAGUCAAGCCUAUGUCUAGAAACAGGCCCCAGGAAAACACAAUUAGAACCUCACAAAAGGCAUCACUCCCCAGCCUCCGACAAGCCCCUCCUGCCACGUACAGCAGACCCCUGGCUUCCUAGGUCUGUAGCUUCUCUCAGGUAAAAAGGUUUCUUCCAUAGCAGGUGUUUGCACUCGCAGGCAGAGAGGCUCCGCAGAAGAAUCAACUAGGCUUUCAAGUACUUCCCUUGCAGGGUCAGGUUACCUUAGAGACACUGACUUCAGGUCUCUGCUUCCCAGCUAGUUGCCCUGGACCAGCAUUAAUACCUUAAAUACACACACCCGGUAUUCGAACAAUCCACUAAAAAUCACCAAAACCCAGUAUUUGGGUAUAAAAGACGAACGAAAACUGCAAGGCAUUUUGUCAAUUUAGCAACAACCCCCGCUCCCGCAAUAUCCAUUCAUUUCAGAAAAUAAAUGUCAGUUGAUUAUUAUUUUCGUGGCAAGAAACUGGAAAACAACUGUAAUCCAACACACUUCUGGAUAUGGAAGCAUAGCUCUGAUAUUGCAUUUGAAAUCACCCAAAAGAGAAAAACAGAUCUUUAACUACACUCAAUCAUGGGGUGAAAGAAAAAAAAAAGAAACCUAAAAUUUUUAAAAUGGAAUGUAAUUUUCCAAUCUAUUGAUUAAAUACAUUUUAUAUUUACCUGAAAAAAGGAGACUUAAAAAAGAGAACCAAAUCACAAACUCAGGGACAGGCAGGGCUACCUGGAACUGUGAUGAAAAGACAAACCACCCAGCAGUUUCCAAAAAGGAAUCUCUACCCAAAGGACUCCAACAGGAUGGCUGUGCCCAGGAAAGAUUCUGGGGGUGGGGCUUCUAUACAAGGUAGUUCCAGGUGAUUAGUACCUGAUUUCUUCUCCUGGAAAUUAUCCGCAGGCAAAAAACAAAUCUUAAAAAGAGCCAUCCAUAGCUCAGUGCAGAAAUGAUAAGCAAAAUAGUUUUUGGGUUUUUUUUGGGGGGGGGCGGGGACUUUUCAGGGCAGCAGUGCUGCAUACGGAAGUUCCCAGGCUAGGGGUGAACUGGAACUGUAAAUGCAGGCCUAAGAGGUAGCCACGGAGCUCCGAGUAAAGGAAUUAAUAAGGAAAAGCUAUGAAUAGGAAAGGGAAGAUCUGGAAACUUCAAGACAUUUCUUGCCAGCCCUAGGAGGAACUAGUCUGGGGGCGGGAAGGUCGUGGACUUGAGGCCCUGCUCCUCAAACUUGAAAAAGUGAAGGGCAAACGGGUCUCCCGGGAAGAAGGAAGGGACAGGGGACCCCAGAGACCACAGCUCCUCCACGCACCAACCUCGGAGACCGAGUUUCCGCUGCCCCAGUGACCUUUUGCGGUCACAGCACAACUUAGAGCAAAAACCGCCGCUCCCCGACUGCUGGCCCAGCCCCGACGCUGCGCCCCGCCUCCGCAGACGAGGGAUCCAGGUCCGCCGCGGGGAGGCCAGGGUGUGCUCAUGGCCGAUACUGGG